GCAGCAGCCGCGGGAACACGGAGGAUCCAAGCGUUAUCCGGAAUCAUUGGGUUUAAAGGGUCCGUAGGCGGUCUUGUAAGUCAGUGGUGAAAGCCCAUCGCUCAACGGUGGAACGGCCAUUGAUACUGCAGGACUUGAAUUAUUGGGAAGUAACUAGAAUAUGUAGUGUAGCGGUGAAAUGCUUAGAGAUUACAUGGAAUACCAAUUGCGAAGGCAGGUUACUACCAAUUGAUUGACGCUGAUGGACGAAAGCGUGGGUAGCGAACAGGAUUAGAUACCCCAGUAGUCCCUGUCUCUUAUAC
rnacentral:rRNA from 1 species